rnacentral:rRNA from 1 species
AUUGAACGCUGGCGGAAUGCUUUACACAUGCAAGUCGAGCGGCAGCGCGGGGGCAACCCUGGCGGCGAGCGGCGAACGGGUGAGUAAUACAUCGGAACGUGUCCUUGAGUGGGGGAUAGCUCGGCGAAAGCCGGAUUAAUACCGCAUAAGCUCUGAGGAGGAAAGCGGGGGACUGGUAACGGCCUCGCGCUGUUGGAGCGGCCGAUGUCGGAUUAGCUAGUUGGUGGGGAAAGGCCCACCAAGGCGACGAUCCGUAGCUGGUCUGAGAGGAUGAUCAGCCACACUGGAACUGAGACACGGUCCAGACUCCCACGGGAGGCAGCAGUGGGGAAUUUUGGACAAUGGGGGCAACCCUGAUCCAGCCAUUCCGCGUGAGUGAAGAAGGCCUGGUGUAAG